GGCAAGAUGGCCGAGUGGUUAUGGCGGAAGUCUCAAGGGUUCACGAUCCUUACCUGUACACAGGCAGCAUGCUUCUGGGGCAGCCCGCGUGAGUUCGAAUCUCGCUCUUGUCA
rnacentral:tRNA from 1 species